UCCCAGACUCCUACGGGAGGCAGCAGUGGGGGAUAUUGCACAAUGGGGGGAACCCUGAUGCAGCGACGCCGCGUGGGUGAAGGAGCGUUUCGGCGCGUAAAGCCCUAUCGGCAGGGAAGAAGGAGGACGGUACCUGACUAAGAAGCCCCGGCUAACUACGUGCCAGCAGCCGCGGUAAUACGUAGGGGGCAAGCGUUAUCCGGAAUUACUGGGUGUAAAGGGUGCGUAGACGGGAUAACAAGUUGGUUGUGAAACCCCUCGGCUCAACUGAGGAACUGCAACCAAAACUAUUAUUCUUGGGUGCAGGAGAGGAAAGUGGAAUUCCUAGUGUAGCGGUGAAAUGCGUAGAUAUUAGGAAGAACACCGGUGGCGAAGGCGACUUUCUGGACUGUAACUGACGUUGAGGCACGAAAGUGUGGGGAGCAAACAGGAUUAGAUACCCGUGUAUG
rnacentral:rRNA from 1 species